rnacentral:rRNA from 1 species
UACAGAGGUCCCGAGCGUUGUUCGGAUUCAUUGGGCGUAAAGGGUGCGUAGGCGGUUCCUAAGUUUGAUGUGAAAUCCCGGGGCUUAACCCUGGAAUUUGCAUUUGAAUUACUGGGGAGACUAGAGUACUGGAGAGGAAACUGGAAUUUUACGGGUGUAGCAGUGAAAUGCGUAGAGAUGUAAGGGAAGACCAGUGGCGAAGGCGA